rnacentral:rRNA from 1 species
UACGUAGGCAGCAAGCGUUGUUCGGAGUUACUGGGCGUAAAGGGUGUGUAGGCGGUUGUUUUAAGUUUGGUGUGAAAUCUCCCGGCUCAACUGGGAGGGUGCGCCGAAUACUGAAUGACUAGAGUGCGGGAGAGGUGAGUGGAAUUCCUGGUGUAGCGGUGAAAUGCGUAGAUAUCAGGAGGAACACCGGUGGUGUAGACGGCUCACUGGACCGUAACUGACGCUGAGACACGAAAGCGUGGGUAGCAAACAGG